rnacentral:sRNA from 1 species
AGCGUUGAAGCAUAGUUGCGUACCGGAAAGCCUUGCUAUGCAGAGUUUUUAGGAGGGGUUGUGCAGUAACCUCGAACCGGUGUAGGCCGAAGGUCAAAAGAAAAUGCAC